GGGUCAGUAGGUUGGUCGUGCCACCGGUACGUACUGGUCUCACUGAUUCCUCCUUCCUGAAGAACCGUAAUGCCAUUAAUUUGGCGUUGCGGGGAAACAGGACUGUUACUUUGAAAAAAUUAGAGUGUUUAAAGCAAGCUAACGCUUGAAUACAUUAGCAUGGAAUAAUGAAAUAGGGCGAUCGAUCCUAUUUUGUUGGUUUCUAGGAUUGACGUA
rnacentral:rRNA from 1 species